rnacentral:rRNA from 1 species
AGUGAACGCUGGCGGUAGGCCUAACACAUGCAAGUCGAACGGCAGCACAGGAGAGCUUGCUCUCUGGGUGGCGAGUGGCGGAAGGGGGAGGAAUACAUCGGAAUCUACCUUUUCGUGGGGGAUAACGUAGGGAAACAUACGCUAAUACCGCAUACGACCUUCGGGUGAAAGCAGGGGACAUUCGGGACUUGCGCGGAUAGAUGAGGCGAUGUCGGAUUAGCUAGUGGGCGGAGUAAAGGCCCACCAAGGCGACGAUCCGUAGCGGGUCUGAGAGGAUGAUCAGCCACACUGGAACUGAGACACGGUCCAGACUCCUACGGGAGGCAGCAGUGGGGAAUAUUGGACAAUGGGCGCAAGCCUGAUCCAGACAUACCGCGUGGGUGAAGAAGGCCUUCGGGUUGUAAAGCCCUUUUGUUGGGAAAGAAAAGCAGCCAGUUAAUACCUGGUUGUACUGACGGUACCCAAAGAAUAAGCACCGGCUAACUUCGUGCCAGCAGCCGCAGUAA